rnacentral:RNase_P_RNA from 1 species
CAGGUCGGCCGGGCGAUCGCGGGGCGGCCCCACAUGGGGAAGCCGCGAGGAAAGUCCGGGCUCCACAGGGCAGGGUGGUGGGCAACGCCCACUCGGGGCAACCCGCAGGCCAGUGCCACAGAGAAGAGACCGCCGGCGCGCUGUGCCCUCGUGCACGGGGCGCCGGUAAGGGUGAAACGGCGGUGUAAGAGACCACCAGCUCCCCGGGCGACCGGGGAGGCUAGGUAAACCCCACCCGGAGCAAGGCCAGACAGGGCGCGUUCGAGGGCUGCCCGCCCGAGCGCCCGGGUAGGCCGCUUGAGGCCGCCGGCAACGGCGGUCCUAGAUGGAUGAUCGCCUCCCGCGCAGGGGUAACCCCGCACGGAGACAGAACCCGGCUCACAGGCCGGCCUGUCCU